rnacentral:tRNA from 1 species
AGGCAUGUAGCUCAGAGGAUUAGAGCACAUGGCUACGAAUCAUGGUAUCGGGGUUUCAAAUCCCUCUUUGCCCA